CGCUGACCCCGCAGCGGAGCCGAGGGGGGCGGCUCGGUGCAAAGUGUCCCCACACGGCUCGGCCCCCUCCCGCGGCCGGCCCCGCCGCUCCCCCCGCCCCGCCGCCAGCGCGGGGGGCGGCUGCGCACGGGCGCGCAGCGGCCCCUCAUCCCCCGUUCCCGGCGGCAGACAGGUUUAAGCUGCCUUAAAGGAGAAUUAAAAAUUGUGACUCCAAAGAACAAAAUAAGACAGAAGAGAGAAAACAGCACUCAGAAAAAACCCAGAAAGGGGACAGCAGGUUUUGACACACAUGGGCGCACAAGAUUAUGAAUAGUGCAGGCAAUGAAGAGUGGGACAUCCAUCAAAGAGUGACAGCCUCUUACAAGGUGACUAGUGUGACCUCAUGACGCUUCUGUAAACCCAGAUUCAGCUAGGAUGUUACACCAUCACUGUCGGAGAAACCCUGAGCUACAGGAAGAGUUGCAGAUUCAGGCUGCAGUGGCUGCUGGCGAUGUUCACACCGUGCGCAAGAUGCUGGAGCAAGGGUAUUCUCCAAACGGUCGAGAUGCCAAUGGCUGGACCUUGCUUCAUUUCUCUGCAGCAAGAGGGAAAGAGAGAUGCGUCCGUGUUUUUCUUGAACAUGGAGCUGAUCCCACAGUUAAGGACUUAAUUGGAGGCUUCACCGCUCUGCAUUACGCAGCCAUGCAUGGCCGAGCGAGGAUUGCGCGCUUGAUGUUGGAAUCUGAAUAUAGAAGUGACAUUAUUAACGCGAAAAGCAACGAUGGUUGGACUCCCCUCCAUGUAGCAGCCCACUAUGGCCGAGACUCGUUUGUCAGGCUCCUGUUGGAGUUCAAGGCUGAGGUUGAUCCGCUCAGCGAUAAAGGUACCACCCCGCUCCAGCUGGCCAUUAUCCGCGAGAGGUCAAGCUGCGUGAAAAUCCUGCUGGAUCACAACGCCAACAUCGACAUUCAAAAUGGUUUCCUGUUACGAUACGCUGUGAUCAAAAGCAAUCACUCUUACUGCCGAAUGUUCCUUCAGAGAGGGGCGGAUACGAACUUGGGUCGCUUGGAAGAUGGACAGACACCCUUACACUUGUCUGCGCUUAGAGAUGAUGUGCUUUGUGCACAAAUGUUGUAUAAUUACGGAGCAGACACUAACACAAGGAACUAUGAAGGACAGACCCCACUGGCUGUUUCAAUAAGUAUUUCUGGAAGUAGCCGACCCUGUCUGGAUUUCUUACAAGAAGUGACAAGUGUUACAAGGAUAGAAAAAACCCCACAAAAAGUUAACUGGAGGAUUUAUGCUGUUCUACAGUGCUUAAGUGUGUGUUACCACCUCGUGGGAAUCCUCACGUGGAUAAUGUCACUUUACACUGACAUCAGUAAAAUUACAUGCAUGUAAAAGUGUUCUUUUAGGAUUCAUACCUUGAUUUCUGUGAAUUAUUGUUCACUAGAAAGGGCAGCCCAGAAACUUGCAAGAUCUAUGCCGAAUAAAAAUCCGUCAAUGUAUAGGCCUUCAAAACCUAAAACUACUUGAUGAACUACCCAUUGCCAAGGUCAUGAAAGACUACUUAAAACACAAAUUUGAUGAUAUCUGAUAUCCAUGAAGAGAAGAACUCUAAGCAAGAUUAGUUAUAUUCCAGAUACUGAAGAGGCUUGUUGCCUUGCACAAAGUAUAUCCUAUGCAAAUUCUGAUUUUUCUGUGAAGUCAGAAGGCAGGUAUACACUUCCUUGGGUUUUUUAUACCACACACUAGAAGGUCUUAAUUUUUGGUUUCUUGGUCCAAGUUUCCAAGGUCCAAGCUUUCUAUACGAUGUUACAUUUUAAAAAUUGCUAUUGGUUUUUGUUUGUUUGUUUUCACAUUAAGUGUGCAGACUUGCAGUGGAGAUGGAAGGCGACCUCUCAAGGGAUGCGCUUGGUUUGAAUUGGCAUGCUGAGCAAUUGUUCGAGAAAAUAAAGUUUGGAAAUCAAGGCACCAGUCCUGCAAAAGGAUACAGAUAGAAGGACCUUCAGAACCCUGUUGUCUGUUGGGACUUUUGUCUCUGCCAGGGUGUAUGUUUUUGCAGGAUAGAGGGAAGAGUUGAUAAUCAACAUGUCCUGGUGUACUGUACGAUCUAAUUUGGAAAUUAAAAAAUGCAAUUACCCUUUUUAAUUUGAGAGUCUAUACAUUGGCUCUUUUUAUAUUAUUGCUUUCCUAAUUCCUGUAGUUGGGAUGCCCAUAAAAUUCAGGCCUUCUUCUUUCCUGGCAUUCCCAGGAAAACGGGCGGUUGUUUCAGUCUAUUUUUAACAGUGACAGUACACUACAAAGAGGCAUAGCCUCAGUAUUUUUUACAUUAACUUAAAACAAAUUUAGAUUUUUUUUAAGCCAAUAUAUUCUGUUUCUCAUACAGUGCCUCCUGUGCAAUAAUCUUUCUGAUGUAUUUUCCCUUUAUGUGUGAUUUCCCCUCCCCACAGCUAUUCCUCAUUUAGUCUCAGUGCAUUGUUUGUGAGAACAGGAGCUGCUGCCUCGCUGAGGUGUUAACGUGAUGUUACUAAAGUGAUGCGGCAGUUGCUGUUCAUUAUCGCUCCCUGAAUUUCAUGAAUGUAUAACCUCCUUUAUUUUACUUUUAGUUGAAAUUUACGGGUUUUCAGCCAAAUUGUGUCCACUUAAAAGAAAAAUUGGCCAAACUCUCUUAUUUGAAAGGCAGUGAUGGAUUAUUUUUGUGGUUGCUCUGAAAUUCAAUUUGUUUCAGGUUAGAGAGUGGGAAAUGCAUAUAAGUUAUUAAGGUGCAUUUUCUGUGUGCACUAACAAAAAAAGCCUAAUUCAUAUUGGGAGUUUAAAUUUUGCAAAUAUUAAGUGGUUUCCAAUUAAUCUGAAAGCAGCGACUGAAAGGAGUACUGAAAUUUGGCUACUGAAUGUGUUCUCCAUACUAGGUAUUUAAAAUUUCUGUUAAAGAGUUUUGUUUCUGAUCAUAAAAUUAAUUUCUUACUAUCAAAAAAACAAUUGGGCCAAAAUGUGCUGGUUUUUCACUCUCUUUUCAAGGAAUUACGGAGUCAUCAUAAGGUCCUUGUCAGUGUUCUCUGCUUUUGUUUUGCUGUCCCACUGGCUCCUAAAGAGCCUCUCUAAUAUCAGGAGUUCUUUUGUACUGAUUAUACCAAUGGAAAAGGGGAGGUGAAAGGAAUGGUGGUAGCUUUUAAGUUUAACACUGUCACUUUCGAAAUAUUUAAUAUUAAAAAUAUGAAAAGCAAGGUGAAGCAGGUAUAUGCUCAUAUUAUUUAACUACAUUAGUUCCUUUUAAUAUCUUGUAACCCUGGUCUGCAGUUCCUUGAGCAGGAACCUUAUCACUGAUAAUUGAUGCACCGGAACCACAGCAAGCAAGGAGGAUUAUCUCUCCCUAUUGUGCCUGCCAUCGCCUCAGGUUUCCAAACAAUAAGCGAUUUUGGAGAUUCAUGUCUUAGAGGAUUGGUAAUGGGAUGUUGAACCUCUUUAUCUCCAUCUUGUCUCGGUUCAAGUCCAGCCUGUGAGCAGUGACCAAACGUUCAGAGCUCAGCAGCACGAGCAAGUAUGUCCAACCUUCUCACCCCGCGGUGCUUCCUCCGGGUUGUAAGUCCUGGUGGUGCCAUCUCAGCGGGGACAACCCAAGAGCCUUUUUGGGGUGUGCUGGCAACUCAGGUGCAGGACGGCAUCUGUUAAUUCCUGUUGAAACAAGAAAGAUCAGGCGUUAUGAUCUUUAAGCUCCCCAGUACUGAGGCAGGACAGAUGUUAAGAAUUGACUGGUGGGUUUUAAGUGUGAAUCUUCAGGAUUGUGACAUGAGAUCAGAACCUUUAAGAUUGCUGUACUUCUUUUUAAAUGUCAGCAUCAUUCACUAUGUUUGUAAGUUGGUCUAAACCAAUGUCCUUCCCCACUGGAUUUUUUACAGUAACGUUUUCUAAGGUAACCUAGAGUAUAUUUUAGUUGCAGUCUAUCUUAAGGCAAAUUAUUUGUUCUGUCUGUUGCUGUGACUGAAGAAAAUUACGGAAGACUUGGUAACAAGAAUGCUAUUUAAUGAAGAAAUGUGUAAUUCCAUUAUUUAUUGUUUGAGGUUUGUUCUUUGGUUAUUUCUUUUAUGUAACUGACAUGUCAAGGGAACACGCACACAUUUCAGGCCAGCAAAAGGCCUUUCUUUUAAAUUAUAACUUUUAGCCGAUCUUCCCUCCCUGAGGUGGAGGAAACCCUGGCCCUUGCUCACAAUGUGAAACCAUCUCUUGUAGCCGGUUUCUCUGACCUUGAUUCUGCAAAGCACCUGAGUCUCUGAACCUACCGAUAGUCCCGUUCGUGAUCUUAAAUUAUAGAUGUGCUCGGGUGCCGGUGAAGUAUGAUUAUUCAUUGUUAAUGCUACCCAAUUGUCAAUAAUCGGGGAUUUGGUCUUUUUUUAUUGUUAUUAUUUUAAAUAUCGUGCACAGAUACUUUGAAGAAUGAAUUGAACUUUGUUUUUCAUUCGGACUAGAAUGAGGAAGGAAAGUGCAUAAUACAGACUUGUUAUGUAGCCUAGUUCCAUUACCUUAAAAUUCAUGGUUAAACAUUUUUAAUAAACCUUAAAAAAAAUUGGCAAGUACACCAAAGAAUCAAUGAGUAAAAGACUCUGAUCAUUAACAAACUGCAAACCUCAUCCUUUAAAACAGAGCAGAAAGUUUCUGUAAAUAUUUAUGUUUAUAAAUGUACAGCAGAGUAAGAGUGUUUUUUAGAUUAUUUAAUUACCAUAUUUCUAAACUAUUUACAUUAUAGACAAUACUUGUUAGUUUGAAAAGCUCUUGAGCGUGGCUUUUUUUGUUUGGGUCUAUUUUGUUUUUGUGAGUUUUUGUUUGGUUUUUUUGUUUUGUUUUUUGUUUUUUGUUUGGGUUUUUGUUGGUUUUUUAAAUUCCUUAUCACUCAUGCUUGGAAUAACUCUGGCUUCCUCGGGAUAGCGUGGAAAAUCUGGUUUUCUGGCUCGAGUUGGCAAUUGUAAGAGGACACAUCUGGAUAAACUCAUCAAACAGAUACCCAGAGGCGAAGGAGAAUAUGUAGCGUGUUUAUCAGGGUGGGCCUGGGCUAGAUGAAAAAAAUUGGAUUGUGACUUAGUUAAAUCUGUGGAAAAGCCCCCGGUGACAUUGUGACCAGAGCGACUUGCAGCGUGCCCACAGGUCUGGUUUCCAUGCAACGCUGUGUUACCGAUAUCAUCAUGUAUUUUGUUCUUCCUUUGCAAUGUAAGUUUUUGCUUUGGGUCAAUUCGAAUUUAAAAAAAAAAAAGUUAAACCUGGUUAAAACCUUGUUUUUGGUUUAUGUUCUGCUUCUUUCUAAUGUAAUGUUUUAAUAACAUAAUACUGCUUUACACAUUUUCUCUCAA